AGUUCUUCAGUGCAUACUGCUGAGCGAAGCACCAAGCUAGCCAGUCGCAGGGGGAAGCCGGUCGAAAUCCGGCGCUGACCCGCAACGGUGGGCCGACUCUGUAGCGGAGGCGGCGAGCCCGAUUACCCAGCGGCUGUGUGUGCGACAC
rnacentral:ncRNA from 2 species